GAACGUAUGGCUUAGUGGUCAGAGCGCUUGGACGGUUUACAAGAGGCGCGGGUUCAAAUCCUGUAGCUUUCA
rnacentral:tRNA from 1 species